GACGAACGCUGGCGGCGUGCUUAACACAUGCAAGUCGAACGGAAAGGCCCUGCUUUUGUGGGGUGCUCGAGUGGCGAACGGGUGAGUAACACGUGAGUAACCUGCCCUUGACUUUGGGAUAACUUCAGGAAACUGGGGCUAAUACCGGAUAGGAGCUCCUGCUGCAUGGUGGGGGUUGGAAAGUUUCGGCGGUUGGGGAUGGACUCGCGGCUUAUCAGCUUGUUGGUGGGGUAGUGGCUUACCAAGGCUUUGACGGGUAGCCGGCCUGAGAGGGUGACCGGCCACAUUGGGACUGAGAUACGGCCCAGACUCCUACGGGAGGCAGCAGUGGGGAAUAUUGCACAAUGGGCGGAAGCCUGAUGCAGCAACGCCGCGUGCGGGAUGACGGCCUUCGGGUUGUAAACCGCUUUCGCCUGUGACGAAGCGUGAGUGACGGUAAUGGGUAAAGAAGCACCGGCUAACUACGUGCCAGCAGCCGCGGUGAUACGUAGGGUGCGAGCGUUGUCCGGAUUUAUUGGGCGUAAGGGCUCGUAGGUGGUUGAUCGCGUCGGAAGUGUAAUCUUGGGGCUUAACCCUGAGCGUGCUUUCGAUACGGGUUGACUUGAGGAAGGUAGGGGAGAAUGGAAUUCCUGGUGGAGCGGUGGAAUGCGCAGAUAUCAGGAGGAACACCAGUGGCGAAGGCGGUUCUCUGGGCCUUUCCUGACGCUGAGGAGCGAAAGCGUGGGGAGCGAACAGGCUUAGAUACCCUGGUAGUCCACGCUGUAAACGGUGGGUACUAGGUGUGGGGUCCAUUCCACGGGUUCCGUGCCGUAGCUAACGCUUUAAGUACCCCGCCUGGGGAGUACGGCCGCAAGGCUAAAACUCAAAGGAAUUGACGGGGCCCCGCACAAGCGGCGGAGCAUGCGGAUUAAUUCGAUGCAACGCGUAGAACCUUACCUGGGUUUGACAUGGAUCGGGAGUGCUCAGAGAUGGGUGUGCCUCUUUUGGGGUCGGUUCACAGGUGGUGCAUGGCUGUCGUCAGCUCGUGUCGUGAGAUGUUGGGUUAAGUCCCGCAACGAGCGCAACCCUUGUUCACUGUUGCCAGCACGUUAUGGUGGGGACUCAGUGGAGACCGCCGGGGUCAACUCGGAGGAAGGUGGGGAUGACGUCAAGUCAUCAUGCCCCUUAUGUCCAGGGCUUCACGCAUGCUACAAUGGCUGGUACAGAGAGUGGCGAGCCUGUGAGGGUGAGCGAAUCUCGGAAAGCCGGUCUCAGUUCGGAUUGGGGUCUGCAACUCGACCUCAUGAAGUCGGAGUCGCUAGUAAUCGCAGAUCAGCAACGCUGCGGUGAAUACGUUCCCGGGGCU
rnacentral:rRNA from 1 species